rnacentral:rRNA from 1 species
AAAUUGAAGAGUUUGAUCAUGGCUCAGAUUGAACGCUGGCGGCAGGCCUAACACAUGCAAGUCGAACGGUAACAGGAAACAGCUUGCUGUUUCGCUGACGAGUGGCGGACGGGUGAGUAAUGUCUGGGAAACUGCCUGAUGGAGGGGGAUAACUACUGGAAACGGUAGCUAAUACCGCAUAAUGUCGCAAGACUAAAGAGGGGGACCUUCGGGCCUCUUGCCAUCGGAUGUGCCCAGAUGGGAUUAGCUAGUAGGUGGGGUAACGGCUCACCUAGGCGACGAUCCCUAGCUGGUCUGAGAGGAUGACCAGCCACACUGGAACUGAGACACGGUCCAGACUCCUACGGGAGGCAGCAGUGGGGAAUAUUGCACAAUGGGCGCAAGCCUGAUGCAGCCAUGCCGCGUGUAUGAAGAAGGCCUU